UAUAUUUUAGUAUACAUGUAUGUAAAAUUUUGAAUUUUAAGGUAAUAGAUUAGUCUAUUAAAUAUAA
rnacentral:tRNA from 1 species